rnacentral:tRNA from 1 species
GGCCGUGUAGCUAAGUAGUAAAGCAAGGGACUGCAAAUCCCUUAUACGCCGGUGCGAUUCCGGCCACGGCCUCAA